rnacentral:rRNA from 1 species
CCUACGGGUGGCUGCAGUGGGGAAUGUUGCGCAAUGGUCGUAAGAGUGACGCAGCGACGCCGCGUGAGUGACGAAGGCCUUCGGGUCGUAAAGGUCUAUCGACAGGGAAGAAAAUGCCAAUAAGUAACUGUGUAUGUAUUGACGGUACGGGUAUAAGCAGCCCCGGCUAACGCCGUGCCAGCAGCCGCGGUAAUACGGAGGGGGCGAGCGUUGUUCGGAGUGACUGGGCGUAAAGGGCACGUAGGCGGUGUUGUAAGUCAUGAGUCAAAGCCUAGGGCUCAACUUGAGUAUGGCUAGUGAUACUCUCAUACUAGAGUAUCAGAGAGGUUUGCGGAAUUCCUGGUGUAGCGGUGACAUGCGUAGAUAUCUG